rnacentral:rRNA from 1 species
GAUGAACGCUGGCGGCGUGCUUAACACAUGCAAGUCGAACGAAGCACUUUAUUUGAUUUCCUUCGGGACUGAUUAUUUUGUGACUGAGUGGCGGACGGGUGAGUCACGCGUGGGUAACCUGCCUUGUACAGGGGGAUAACAGUUGGAAACGGCUGCUAAUCCCGCAUAAGCGCACGGCCUCGCAUGCUGCAGUGUGAAAAACUCCGGUGGUAUAAGAUGGACCCGCGUUGGAUUAGCUAGUUGGUGAGGUAACGGCCCACCAAGGCGACGAUCCAUAGCCGGCCUGAGAGCGUGACCGGCCACAUUGGGACAGGGACACGGCCCAAACUCCGACGGGAGGCAGCAGUGGGGAAGAUUGCACAAUGGGCGAAAGCCUGAGGCAGCGAGGCCGCGUGAGCGAAGAAGUAUGUCGGUAUGUAAAACUCUAUCAGCAGGGAAGAUAAGGACGGUACCUGACUAGGAAGCACCGGCUAAAUACGU